rnacentral:rRNA from 1 species
GACGAACGCUGGCGGCGCGCCUAAUACAUGCAAGUCGAACGAGUACGGACUUCGGUCCAUAUGUACGAGUGGCGAACGGGUGAGUAACACGUGAGAAACCUGCCUCGGAGACCGGGACAACCAUUGGAAACGAUGGCUAAUACCGGAUGUCCUCUAACGGUCGCAUGGCCGAUUGAGGAAAUGAUCCGUCGCUCCGGGAGGUCUCGCGGCCUAUCAGCUUGUUGGUGAGGUAAUGGCUCACCAAGGCAUCGACGGGUAGCUGGUCUGAGAGGACGAUCAGCCACACUGGGACUGAGACACGGCCCAGACUCCUACGGGAGGCAGCAGUAGGGAAUCUUGCACAAUGGGCGAAGGCCUGAUGCAGCGACGCCGCGUGGGGAUGAAGGCCUUC